rnacentral:rRNA from 1 species
CCUACGGGAGGCAGCAGUGAGGAAUAUUGGUCAAUGGGCGUAAGCCUGAACCAGCCAAGUCGCGUGAGGGAUGAAGGUUCUAUGGAUCGUAAACCUCUUUUAUAAGGGAAUAAAGUGUGGGACGUGUCCUGUUUUGUAUGUACCUUAUGAAUAAGGAUCGGCUAACUCGGUGCCAGCAGCCGCGGUAAUACGGAGGAUCCGAGCGUUAUCCGGAUUUAUUGGGUUUAAAGGGUGCGUAGGCGGUCUUUUAAGUCAGCUGUGAAAGUUUGUGGCUCAACCAUAGAAUUGCAGUUGAAACUGGGAGGCUUGAGUAUGUUUGAGGCAGGCGGAAUGCGUGGUGUAGCGGUGAAAUGCUUAGAUAUCACGCAGAACCCCGAUUGCGAAGGCAGCCUGCCAAGCCAUGACUGACGCUGAUGCACGAAAGCGUGGGGAUCAAACAGGAUUAGAUACCCUAGUAGUC